rnacentral:misc_RNA from 1 species
UCCGGCUUAUCACCGGCAGUCCCUCUAGAGUGCCCAACUGAAUGAUGGCAACUAAAGGCAAGGGUUGCGCUCGUUGCGGGACUUAACCCAACAUCUCACGACACGAGCUGACGACAGCCAUGCAGCACCUGUGUCCAGGUUCCCUUUCGGGCACACCCCCAUCUCUGGAGGCUUCCUGGCAUGUCAAGGGUAGGUAAGGUUUUUCGCGUUGCGUCGAAUUAAGCCACAUGCUCCGCCGCUUGUGCGGGCCCCGUCAAUUCCUUUGAGUUUUAGUCUUGCGACCGUACUCCCCAGGCGGGGCACUUAGUGCGUUAGCUACGGCACGGAACCCGUUGAUAAGGCCCCACACCUAGUGCCCAACGUUUACGGCGUGGAUUAC